UGUUUUUUUUUUUUCAGCCUCAAUAAGGGGAGAUGUAGCCGAUCCCCAGCCGGUAGACUCCGCGCCAGUCGUCUUGCGUCUACAAUUUCGUCCGAAUUCUCACUAAACAAACCGCUCGUCAACUGGACUAACUUUCAGCUGUGCUGAAAGUCGCCAGUUAAGGACUUCGGCUGUUUGCAGGAUCGCAUAGGAUUUCCUUUUGGACUUUGCGUUUUUCAUUCAAGUCGCGGUGGCCGAGCAGCGCAGCGUCACGGGUCACGACCACACAUUUAAGUUUUAAACCGAUAUGAUCUGAAAACGCCAAUACCCAGAAAACCCAAGGAUCUGCACAAAACAAACAACUACACUGUAACCCCAAAACAAGACAUUCAUUAAAAUUACGUUAACAAAAAAAAUAUGUCCCUAAUACCUAUAUCACAGUUUUAUCACCGUUUUUGGUUUAACCUUUCGUGCUUAUUGCACGGACGACCUGGGAUGCGAAUCCUUCGAUUUCCUUCGAAGAGGAUGUCACCGCCAAAUCACAGCUAAUCCCUGUGAACUGUGCCUCGGGAGCAAUUGUCCUACUUCUAGUGGACACGCCUCCCUUUCUUCCUACAAAAUUUAAACAACUUUUCUCCACCAGUCCGCAUCCCGGUGCAAUUGCAUGUGUGUCAUGCAAGCCACCGUUCGUGGGCUGGCUGGAGAUAAUAAAUAUGCGAGACGCCGUCGACUCGGCUAUCACAUAUUUUAUUUGUUAAAUUGGGCGCCAUAUUGUUACGGAACUGCAUCUUUCCCGGAGAGCAGCGCCGGCUAGCCACGGAGUCCCAGGGCGGAGUACCCCCUAUGCCCUGCAGUCCGAACAAUCGAUUCCGACUCAUCGGACGUCUCACGUCGAUUUACCAUCUCUACCACAAAUCAAAACAAAACAAAGUUAUAUGUACAUCAAGCAAACUAAGACAAUUCGACGAAAUUGGUGGCUUCGAUGUCCUUGCCACGACGCACCCACCCAACCUUGGGUGCCCCAAGAAUGAUGUGGGAGGCACACCACAUCUCCGGCAGACCGGAGUCUAUUCCUGGUGGAUUAGGAUCGGCUCAUCUCCCCACCCAAGAAACUCUUAAGGCCGAUCUCAGACCGUCGCCCAGAUUAGAAGCGGUCAAAGCGGCAACAACCGAAAGGGAAAUUUUUAGACGCUUAAAAUUCCAAGUGUCAGGCAAAGUCGCCGCACGGCACUAAAUUGGAGGCGUUUGCCAACCGGGUCGCCUAAUCCUGAGGAGCUCCAAGGGAAAAGAAGGGACGUGCUGAUAAGGUAAGUACGCUAAACAAAUCCCACAAGUUAUUAAAUUUCGCGACCCAAUUUAGAUGUAGUUGGACGCGCGGCUAGGGUUCGGGCUUGAGCCUCUAAUUUUAGAUUAGAUUUCACAAUUUCAACGUCGGAUGUGGUUGAAACUGCAGCCCGAAUGGAAAAGCGCUAGCGGCGAAAACCAGCGCGAGUUCGCACGGAGUCAAUUGGUCCGGAGGAUAGCGCAGCGUGGCCGGAGGCAGUGCGUCGGUGGACUUGGAGAUGAGCACGUGGCCAGAGCGGGCAUUCGUUCCCGGAACGGACUCACCGAGGGAAUCUCCGUAUCUGGCCGUCUUGGAGGCAGUCGCUGUAGCUGCUGGCGCUUGAGGCUGCUGCUGCUGCUACUGAUCGCUGCUGCUGCGGCUGAUGCUGCUGCGGCU